rnacentral:rRNA from 1 species
CCUACGGGAGGCAGCAGUGAGGAAUAUUGGUCAAUGGACGAGAGUCUGAACCAGCCAAGUAGCGUGAAGGAUGACUGCCCUAUGGGUUGUAAACUUCUUUUAUAAAGGAAUAAAACGAGGCACGUGUGCCUUUUUGCAUGUACUUUAUGAAUAAGGAUCGGCUAACUCCGUGCAAGCAGCCGCGGUAAUACGGAGGAUCCGAGCGUUAUCCGGAUUUAUUGGGUUUAAAGGGAGCGUAGAUGGGUUGUUAAGUCAGUUGUGAAAGUUUGCGGCUCAACCGUAAAAUUGCAAUUGAUACUGGCAGUCUUGAGUACAGUUGAGGUAGGCGGAAUUCGUGGUGUAGCGGUGACAGGCGUAGAUAUUACGAAGAACCCCGAUUGCGAAGGCAGCCUACUAAACUGUGACUGACAUUGAUGCUCGAAAGUGUGGGUAUCAAACAGGAUUAGAUACCCCAGUAGUC